rnacentral:rRNA from 1 species
ACGAACGCUGGCGGCGUGCUUAACACAUGCAAGUCGAACGGAAAGGCCCUGCUUUUGUGGGGUGCUCGAGUGGCGAACGGGUGAGUAACACGUGAGUAACCUGCCCUUGACUUUGGGAUAACUUCAGGAAACUGGGGCUAAUACCGGAUAGGAGCUCCUGCUGCAUGGUGGGGGUUGGAAAGUUUCGGCGGUUGGGGAUGGACUCGCGGCUUAUCAGCUUGUUGGUGGGGUAGUGGCUUACCAAGGCUUUGACGGGUAGCCGGCCUGGGGGGGUGACCGGCCCCAUUGGGCCUGGGAUACGGCCCAGACCCCUCCGGGGGGCAGCGGUGGGGAUUUUUGCCCAGUGGGCGGACGCCGGUUGCAGCACCCCCGGGUGCGGGAUGACGCCCUUCGGUUUGUAACCCCCUUUCCCCUGUGACGAAGCGUGGGUGCCGGUAAUGGGUAAAGAAGCCCCGGCUACCUCCUU